rnacentral:rRNA from 1 species
AUUGAACGCUGGCGGCAUGCUUUACACAUGCAAGUCGAACGGUAACAGCACUUCGGUGGCUGACGAGUGGCGCACGGGUGAGUAAUACAUCGGAACGUGCCUAGUAGUGGGGGAUAACUACUCGAAAGAGUAGCUAAUACCGCAUGAGAUCUAAGGAUGAAAGCAGGGGACCUUCGGGCCUUGCGCUACUAGAGCGGCUGAUGGCAGAUUAGGUAGUUGGUGGGAUAAAAGCUUACCAAGCCGACGAUCUGUAGCUGGUCUGAGAGGACGACCAGCCACACUGGGACUGAGACACGGCCCAGACUCCUACAGGAGGCAGCAGUGGGGAAUUUUGGACAAUGGGCGCAAGCCUGAUCCAGCAAUGCCGCGUGCAGGAUGAAGGCCUUCGGGUUGUAAACUGCUUUUGUACGGAACGAAAAGCCCUCUUCUAAUACAGGAGGGUCAUGACGGUACCGUAAGAAUAAGCACCGGCUAACUACGUG